rnacentral:rRNA from 1 species
GACGAACGCUGGCGGCGUGCUUAACACAUGCAAGUCGAACGGAAAGGCCCCUUUGGGGGUACUCGAGUGGCGAACGGGUGAGUAACACGUGAGUAACCUGCCCUUGACUUCGGGAUAACUUCAGGAAACUGGGGCUAAUACCGGAUAGGAAUCCUUGCUGCAUGGUGGGGGUUGGAAAGCUUCGGCGGUUUUGGAUGGACUCGCGGCUUAUCAGCUUGUUGGUGGGGUAGUGGCUUACCAAGGCUUUGACGGGUAGCCGGCCUGAGAGGGCGACCGGCCACAUUGGGACUGGGAUACGGCCCAGACUCCUACGGGAGGCAGCAGUGGGGAAUAUUGCAAAAUGGGCGGGAGCCUGAUGCAGCAACGCCGCGUGCGGGAUGACGGCCUUCGGGUUGUAAACCGCUUUCAGCAGGGGCGAAGCUUGUGGUGACGGUACCUGCAGAAGAAGCACCGGCUAACUACGUG